ensembl:snRNA U1 U1 spliceosomal RNA
AUGUUUAUGUGGCCGGGGAGAUACCAUGAUAACCAAGGUGGUUUCCCCAGGGCGAGGCUUAUCCAUUGUACUCCAGAUGUGCUGACCCCUGAGAUUUCCCCAAAUGUGGGAAACUCCACUGCACAUUUUGUGUUAGUGGGGGACUGUUUCUGCACUUUACCCAG